rnacentral:lncRNA from 1 species
UCAGAUCAGCUUGCAGAUUGCUUGAUAUCCACUCUUAUAUUGGUCUUUUCUGUAAAGGGGCGUCUUAAGUAUGAAUUAGGAUUGAGGUACGUAAAUUUGAUUUUCAUGAAAAAGGUGAGGUAGGACUGUUUUGUGUUGUCAAUUAGGUUUAAUAUGUGUUUUGUAAAAGUAUUAAUCUAGACCGUUUUUAAAGCUUAGUUACAGGUUUGAGUUUUAUUAACAUUUGUCACUCCAAAGUAAUAUUGUGUUUAGUGAAAGUAUUGAUCUAGAUUUUUUUUACUGCAUGUAUAAGUUCAUUUGCAGGAUUGAGGUAGGUAACUAUGUAUUUCAGACAAAAAGUGUGGUAGGUCAGUGUGAAUACAGGAAUUUGUUUAAGUACAUUUAGAGGUAGGCAGGUAUGCUAGUGCAGACUUUGUAGUAAUAAUUGAGCAUUACUGUUUUGUAAAGGUAUUAAUCAUUUUUUUAUCUUUUCUUUGUGCGUGUGUCGUCAGAUCACUCUAGAUUGCUUGAUGUCUUUUUUUUGGUCACUUUUUGAAAGGUAUGGAUAUCAACAUUGUUUUUGUGAAGAUGGAGUCAAAUCAGUCUUCAUAGUGCUUGAAGUAUGUAGUUAGGUUGGGAGGUUAGGAGCUGUGUAUGGAUUACUGUUUAUUUAAAAGCGUAGUUGCAGGAUUGAUUUUUUUUAACAAUUGUCAAUUGAGUAAUAUUCUAUUUAGUGAAAGUAUAAAUACUUUCUUUCUUUUUUUUUUAUUGUGAUUUUGGAGUCAGAUAUGUCUUCAAAAUGGUUGAUGUCCAUUUUUAUAUUGGUCACUUCUGUCAAGGAUUGUGAAGUAUUAACAAGCAUUAAGGUCCCAAGAAUGUCCAGCAUCCAGCAGUCCUCCUGGUGUGGCAUGACCAAAUGCAGGAUCAGAACAAGGCAUGGCCAACAUCACCACGUGUCGACUUCAGGAGGCAAAGCACUUCAGCAGCCCCCCUUUACAUCAACAGCAAAUGUGUACCUUCUAGUUUCUUGGGGUCCUUAUCUCCGCUGACAUCUCUUGGACAUACAACAUCACAGCAGUCAUCAAGAAGUUUCAGCAGCAGAUACACUUUCUGAGUGACUUUCCUUGCCCAACCUGGACCCCAACCUGCUGCUGACGUUCUACUGCUUGUCCAUUGAAAGCUUGCUGACUUACUGUAUUACAGUUUGGUACGGCAGCUGCACCAUUAUCGUAUUGAAUUUUUUGUAUAUUUGUAUUUUCUACAUAUAUGUCUACACUGAAGGAGC